CAAAAUUGAUUUUUUAAAAACCAAUUUCAUAAUAUUUUAACUCAAAGAAAGGGGUGGGGCGGCAGUUACAUGUGGGUUGUUUAGUUUCAAUGUGAUUUCAUGAGGGCAAGGUAUUUGUCAAAAGUCCUAAAAGAAAAAUGUAUUAGCAUUGGAAAACAACACUGCUUCUAUUUUUGUGUCUGAUGGAUAAGGUAUUGGUGCAUGCACAACACAUGUUCGGUAAAAUGCUUGAGAGGAGGAGGUUCUUUUUAGAGCAUUUGCUUAUUUAGUUUGAUGAAUUUAAGAUUGCCCGG
rnacentral:lncRNA from 1 species